rnacentral:misc_RNA from 1 species
GAAAUGCGAUACGUAAUGUGAAUUGCAGAUUUCAGUGAAUCAUCGAAUCUUUGAACGCACAUUGCGCCCGCCAGUAUUCUGGCGGGCAUGCCUGUUCGAGCGUCAUUUCAACCAUCAAGCCCCCGGCUUGUGUUGGGGCCCUGCGGCUGCCGCAGACCCCCAAAUCCAGUGGCGGGCUCGUCGUCGUACCGAGUGCAGUAAACAUCCUCGCUCAGGGAACGCGUCGGGUUCCGGCCGUGAAACACCCCCUACAUCAAGGUUGACCUCGGAUCAGGUAGGAAUACCCGCUGAACUUAA